UGAAAAUAAUCCAGAAGGACCUCGCCGCUUUAGAGCUUCUGGACGUCAUCAAUUUCGCCCCUUUCGGUACCAGCAUCUAGGCCAAUUUGCGACUCUGGGUGGAGAUCAGGCGGCAGCAGAACUGCCUGGCGACUGGGUUUCUGUGGGUCACAGCACACAGUGGCUGUGGUAUUCUGUAUAUGCAAGCAAGCAAGUCAGCUGGCGCACGAGGUUCUUAGUGGUAUCUGAUUGGACAAGGAGAUACAUUUUUGGCAGAGAUUCAAGUCGAAUUUGAGGCAAUUUCCGUCUUUUAUACAAAAAUAAACCAUCUGGGACUUGGGCUUGAGAUUCUGGAAGAAUU